rnacentral:rRNA from 1 species
CCUACGGGUGGCAGCAGUGAGGAAUAUUGGUCAAUGGUCGGGAGACUGAACCAGCCAAGCCGCGUGAGGGAUGAAGGUACAGAGUAUCGUAAACCUCUUUUGUCAGGGGACAAAGGCGGGGACGCGUCCCCGGAUGAGUGUACCUUAAGAAAAAGCAUCGGCUAACUCCGUGCCAGCAGCCGCGGUAAUACGGAAGGUUCGGGCGUUAUCCGGAUUUAUUGGGUUUAAAGGGAGCGUAGGCCGUGUGCCAAGCGUGCUGUGAAAUGUCCGGGCUCAACCCGGGACUUGCCGCGCGAACUGGCGUGCUAGAGUCGGCGGAAAGCAGGCGGAAUGCGUGGUGUAGCGGUGAAAUGCUUAGAUAUGACGAAGAACCCCGAUUGCGAAGGCAGCUUG